rnacentral:rRNA from 1 species
CAGCUUGCUGGAUGCUGACGAGCGGCGGACGGGUGAGUAAUGCAUAGGAAUCUGCCCGAUAGUGGGGGAUAACCUGGGGAAACCCAGGCUAAUACCGCAUACGUCCUACGGGAGAAAGGGGGCUCCGGCUCCCGCUAUGGGAUGAGCCUAUGUCGGAUUAGCUAGUUGGUGAGGUAACGGCUCACCAAGGCCACGAUCCGUAGCUGGUCUGAGAGGAUGAUCAGCCACAUCGGGACUGAGACACGGCCCGAACUCCUACGGGAGGCAGCAGUGGGGAAUAUUGGACAAUGGGGGAAACCCUGAUCCAGCCAUGCCGCGUGUGUGAAGAAGGCCCUCGGGUUGUAAAGCACUUUCAGCGAGGAAGAACGCCUAGCGGUUAAUACCCGCUAGGAAAGACAUCACUCGCAGAAGAAGCACCGGCUAACUCCGUGCCAGCAGCCGCGGUAAUACGGAGGGUGCAAGCGUUAAUCGGAAUUACUGGGCGUAAAGCGCGCGUAGGUGGCUUGAUAAGCCGGUUGUGAAAGCCCCGGGCUCAACCUGGGAACGGCAUCCGGAACUGUCAAGCUAGAGUGCAGGAGAGGAAGGUAGAAUUCCCGGUGUAGCGGUGAAAUGCGUAGAGAUCGGGAGGAAUACCAGUGGCGAAGGCGGCCUUCUGGACUGACACUGACACUGAGGUGCGAAAGCGUGGGUAGCAAACAGGAUUAGAUACCCUGGUAGUCCACGCCGUAAACGAUGUCGACCAGCCGUUGGGUGCCUAGCGCACUUUGUGGCGAAGUUAACGCGAUAAGUCGACCGCCUGGGGAGUACGGCCGCAAGGUUAAAACUCAAAUGAAUUGACGGGGCCCGCACAAGC